rnacentral:rRNA from 1 species
UACACUCCUGCGGGAGGCAGCAGUGGGGAAUAUUGCACAAUGGGCGCAAGCCUGAUGCAGCCAUGCCGCGUGUAUGAAGAAGGCCUUCGGGUUGUAAAGUACUUUCAGCGGGGAGGAAGGCAAUACGGUUAAUAACCGUGUUGAUUGACGUUACCCGCAGAAGAAGCACCGGCUAACUCCGUGCCAGCAGCCGCGGUAAUACGGAGGGUGCAAGCGUUAAUCGGAAUUACUGGGCGUAAAGCGCACGCAGGCGGUCUGUCAAGUCGGAUGUGAAAUCCCCGGGCUCAACCUGGGAACUGCAUUCGAAACUGGCAGGCUUGAGUCUUGUAGAGGGGGGUAGAAUUCCAGGUGUAGCGGUGAAAUGCGUAGAGAUCUGGAGGAAUACCGGUGGCGAAGGCGGCCCCCUGGACAAAGACUGACGCUCAGGUGCGAAAGCGUGGGGAGCAAACAGGAUUAGAUACCCUAGUAGUCCCAUGAU